ACCCGAUGCAAACUGCGAAUACCGGAGAAUGUUAUCACGGGAGACACACGGCGGGUGCUAACGUCCGUCGUGAAGAGGGAAACAACCCAGACCGCCAGCUAAGGUCCCAAAGUCAUGGUUAAGUGGGAAACGAUGUGGGAAGGCCCAGACAGCCAGGAUGUUGGCUUAGAAGCAGCCAUCAUUUAAAGAAAGCGUAAUAGCUCACUGGUCGAGUCGGCCUGCGCGGAAGAUGUAACGGGGCUAAACCAUGCACCGAAGCUGCGGCAGCGACGCUUAUGCGUUGUUGGGUAGGGGAGCGUUCUGUAAGCCUGCGAAGGUGUGCUGUGAGGCAUGCUGGAGGUAUCAGAAGUGCGAAUGCUGACAUAAGUAACGAUAAAGCGGGUGAAAAGCCCGCUCGCCGGAAGACCAAGGGUUCCUGUCCAACGUUAAUCGGGGCAGGGUGAGUCGACCCCUAAGGCGAGGCCGAAAGGCGUAGUCGAUGGGAAACAGGUUAAUAUUCCUGUACUUGGUGUUACUGCGAAGGGGGGACGGAGAAGGCUAUGUUGGCCGGGCGACGGUUGUCCCGGUUUAAGCGUGUAGGCUGGUUUUCCAGGCAAAUCCGGAAAAUCAAGGCUGAGGCGUGAUGACGAGGCACUACGGUGCUGAAGCAACAAAUGCCCUGCUUCCAGGAAAAGCCUCUAAGCAUCAGGUAACAUCAAAUCGUACCCCAAACCGACACAGGUGGUCAGGUAGAGAAUACCAAGGCGCUUGAGAGAACUCGGGUGAAGGAACUAGGCAAAAUGGUGCCGUAACUUCGGGAGAAGGCACGC
rnacentral:rRNA from 1 species